rnacentral:rRNA from 1 species
GUGCCAGCAGCCGCGGUAAGACGUAGGGUCCAAGCGUUGUCCGGAUUUACUGGGCGUAAAGAGCGCGUAGGCGGCUCGUUAAGUGUGAAGCUAAAUCUCCAGGCUCAACCUGGAAACUAUUUCGCAUACUGGCGAGCUGGAGUGAUGAAGAGGUUUGUGGAAUUCCUGGUGUAGCGGUGAAAUGCGUUGAUAUCAGGAGGAACACCCAUGGCGAAGGCAGCAAACUGGUCAUCAACUGACGCUGAGGCGCGAAAGCGUGGGUAGCAAACAGGAUUAGAUACCCUGGUAGUCC